UACGUAGGGUGCAAGCGUUAAUCGGAAUUACUGGGCGUAAAGGGUUUGUAGGUGGCCCGCUAAGUCACACGUGAAAUCCCUCAGCUUAACUGGGGAACUGCGUGUGAGACUGGCAGGCUCGAGGGCAGGAGAGGAACGCGGAAUUCCAGGUGUAGCGGUGAAAUGCGUAGAUAUCUGGAGGAACACCGGUGGCGAAGGCGGCAUCCUGGACCAACACUGACACUGAGGAGCGAAAGCCAGGGGAGCAAACGGG
rnacentral:rRNA from 1 species